GGAUCCUUUAACCCACUGUACCAGGCUGGGGAUUGAACCUGCAUCCUGGCACUUCAGGGAAGCCAUGGAUCCUGUUGCACUACAGCAGGAACACCAGGAUCUUUAACUUUUAAGUGUUGUAAAUAAUUUGAACUUGCUGCCUGCUACAUUUUGUUGCUCAUCUAUUUGUUUUGUUUUGUCCUUGGACUUCACACUAAUAUCACUUAGUUUUAGUUUUGGAUUUUUCUUUUAACCUUGGAGAGCAAUGAUAUGUCUUUUCCCAGACAUUAUAUUGAUGACAAUCUGAGCCCUAUUAUCAAUCAUCACAAUUCCCACAUCUUUUCCAUCCUCCAGUUUACCUGUGGGUUUUCAGCUUUAUGUUUCUGACCUGUCUGUUGUCAGCACACAUCAGCACUAGCAGGUUCAGACAGAAUAUAAUCGUAAGCCUCCUUCUGGUUCUUUCUUUCUUUUCUUUAUUUUUUGGGAGUGGAAGGAUAUUCUGUAGCCCUAAAGUACCUAAUGCAAGGUAUAAAAUGGAGACUUUAAACACUUAAUUGUUCUCAAUGACACUGUACCUAUAAAUUGGCCAAUUCUCCAACUGGCAACUCUCUAAUUCUCUAAGACUCUAAUGGUCAAUAAGGGGUUGCAAAAGAUAUUUCAUCCAUUUCCCAGAAAACACACAUUUUGCUUCACCUUGGAUUUUUAACAUGUUCUCUCUAACUUUUGGAUUCUUGCAUUCCUAAACUUAACCCUCAGUUUUCUCUGUGAUUUUUGAAUUGCUCUCUUUUACUUUGUUUUCCUUUAACUCUUCUGUACUUCAUUCUUUCCAAAAUAGAAAUCUUCUCACCAGUAGAGAUAAUCUUGCAUGGAUUAGGACGUAAUACCAUCACAGAGACACAAAAACACACUCAAAUAACCUCAUACAACAUAUAUCACUAUUUUGAUCCUCUACUCCCUAAACAACAUGGAGCUUUUUCUGAAAAAGAGCACAUGGUCAGAGUGUAAAGAAAAGCACCUGAAAAGACUCUCAACAUCACUAGUCAUGAGGGAUAUAAGAAUCCAAAUCACGGUGAAAUACCACCUCACACCCGCUCAGAUGCUAUUAUUAAGACAAGUGUUGGUGAGGUUGUAGAGAAACUGGAACGUUUAUACACUAAAGGUAGGGAUGUAAAAUGGUGCAGUCACUUUAGAAAACUUUGGCAUUUCCUCAGAUGAUUAAACAGCUACCUUGUAAUCCAUCAAUCCCACUCCUAGAGAAAUGAAUCUAUAUCUCCACAAAAAAGUGUGUACACAUAUGUUCAUAACAGCCAAAAAGCAAAAACAACCUACAUGUCCAUCAUCUGAUGAUUGGAUAAAUAAAAUGUUAUUUGGUAACAAAAAGAAAUGAAGUACUUGUCACGAGACAUGUUUCUACAAUAUUUUCUUAGCCUCUUUGCUGAAAAUUCCAUCUUGUCCUGCUUUACCUCAUCUUCCUGCUUGGAAAACAGGAGUGAAAUGAUCCCUUGCCUAAUUAUUGCAUUGCAGAAAGGGCAGUACUCACUGAAGCCUGACAGUGAAAAGAGAAAUGAUCCAACACCUGUGUUUUUUACAACUGCAAAGAAUGAAAACAAACAACCAAGUAUUUUAUCCAGACCCAGGGUUAUCAGUGUAAGCACAGCAAAGAACUCUAAUGUUGUAGUAAAUCUGAAACUGUGUGCUUUAGAAAAUAUAUGCAAAGAUGCAUACAGUGAAAUUAUGCCUCCCAAGAUUGGCUAAUGAGCAAUCAGUGAAUGAGAUCCUUUCCAGGGGAGAAGUAAUUCACACCCUAAAGUUUGUGUAGUGUUCCAAAGUACCUCAGAAUAUAUGACUUAACCUCAAUCAAAGCUUUUUAGGCUUAGAAAAACUUACUGCAAAAUUUAGACGAAAAUGUAAGCUGUAAGUGACAGCUUACAGAUAUGUUAUGAUGGCUGCAACUUUUCUUUCAAACAUUUUUAUGAUUUUAACUCUGAUAUUCACAUUAUGUGAGUCAAUUCUCUUAUGGGCAAAACAUAAUAAUAAUAGAUCCCAAGUUGAUCACCAGGAGAGUAAACAUGUUUGCAAAUCAUUAAAAAAUAUUCAAGUAUUUAGCAACAUGGCCUAGAUU
ensembl:lncRNA